AUUGAACGCUGGCGGCAGGCCUAACACAUGCAAGUCGAACGAGUGGCGGACGGGUGAGUAAUGUCUGGGAAACUGCCCGAUGGAGGGGGAUAACUACUGGAAACGGUAGCUAAUCCCGCAUACCAUCGGAUGUGCCCAGAUGUGCUUAGCUAGUAGGUGGGGUAACGGCUCACCUGGGCGACGAUCCCUAGCUGGUAUGAGAGGAUGACCAGCCACACGGGAACGGAGACACGGUCCAGACUCCUACGGGAGGCAGCAGUGGGUAAUAUUGCACAAUGGGCGCAAGCCUGAUGCAGCCAUGCCGCGUGGAUGAAGAAGGCCUUCGGGUUGUAAAGUACGUUCAGCGAGGAGGCGUUACUCGCAGAAGAAGCACCGGCUAACUCCGUGCCAGCAGCCGCGGUAAUUC
rnacentral:rRNA from 1 species